rnacentral:rRNA from 1 species
UACGUAGGGUGCAGGCGUUAAUCGGAAUUACUGGGCGUAAAGCGUGCGCAGGCGGUUUCUUAAGUCAGAUGUGAAAGCCCCGGGCUUAACCUGGGAACUGCGUUUGAAACUGGGAGACUUGAGUGUGGCAGAGGGGGGUGGAAUUCCACGUGUAGCAGUGAAAUGCGUAGAUAUGUGGAGGAACACCGAUGGCGAAGGCAGCCCCCUGGGUCGACACUGACGCUCAGGCACGAAAGCGUGGGGAGCAAACAGG